UCCCCAGUGGCCUGGUGGUUAAGGAUCUGUGUUGUCACUGCUGUGGCACAGGUUUAAUCCCUGACUGGGGAA
rnacentral:tRNA from 1 species